CCUCUUCUCGUGCAGAUGCCGCCCGGCUCUGGUCAGCCUCCGGCCGUCAGUGCUUUGAGACCGAACACCAUGCCUUCAAUUAAGUUGCAGAGUUCUGAUGAAGAUAUAUUUAAAGUUGAUGUGGAAAUUGCCAAACAGUCUGUGACUAUCAAGACCAUGUUGUAAGAUUUGGGAAUGGAUGAUGAAGGAGAUGAUGACCCAGUUCCUCUACCAAAUGUUAAUGCAGCAAUAUUAAAAAGUCAUUCAGUGGUGCACCCACCACAAGGAUGAUCCUCCUCCUCCUCAGGAUGAUGAGAACAAAGAAAAGCGAACAGAUGAUAUCCCUGUUUGGGACCAAGAAUUUCUGAAAGUUGACCAAGGAACACUUUUUGAACUUAUUCUGGCUGCAAACUACUUAGACAUCAAAGGUUUGCUUGAUGUUAUGUGCAAGACUGUUGCUAAUAUGAUCAAGGGGAAAACUCCUGAGGAGAUUCAUAAGACCUUCAAUAUCAAAAAUGACUUUAUUUCUUAGGUUGAAUCAAUAGCAAAAAAAAAAAAAAUGACUUUAUUGAAGAGGAGGAAGCCCAGGUACCCAAAGAGAACCAGUGGUGUAAAGAGAAGUGAAAUGUUGUGCCUGACACUGUAACACUGUAAGGAUUGUUUCAAAUACUAGUUGCACUGCUCUGUUUAUAAUUGUUAAUAUUAGACAAACAGUAGACAAAUGCAGCAGCAAAUCCAUUGUAUUAGCCAGAAUAUUGUCCUCAUCGCAUGUGUAGUUUGAGUACAGAUUCCAAACCUAUGGUUGACUUUCUUCUAGUAUGAUCGAAAGUUUCUUUUUGCUCUGAAUAAAACUGAACUGUGGGUUCUCUAUAUAGAAAGUGGCAUUUUGGGCUUUCCCUCUUUUUUUGUAAAGUGAUUUCUGCCUAGUUUAUUGUCCAGUUAACUUUAGUGACCUUUUAAAAGUUGGCAUUGUACAUAAAAUAACUUGCAAA